UACGUAGGUGGCGAGCGUUGUCCGGAUUUAUUGGGUUUAAAGGGUGCGUAGGCGGCCUUGUAAGUCAGUUCUGAAAUAUCCCGGCUUAACCGGGAGGGUGGGAUUGAUACUGCAGGGCUUGAGUAGAGUCGAGGUAGGCGGAAUUGACGGUGUAGCGGUGAAAUGCUUAGAUAUCGUCAAGAACACCGAUAGUGUAGACAGCUUACUAGUCUCAAACUGACGCUGAGGCACGAAAGUGUGGGGAUCAAACAGG
rnacentral:rRNA from 1 species